GAUGAACGCUGGCGGCGUGCCUAAUACAUGCAAGCCGAGCGAACGGACGAGAAGCUUGCUUCUCUGAUGUUAGCGGCGGACGGGUGAGUAACACGUGGAUAACCUACCUAUAAGACUGGGAUAACUUCGGGAAACCGGAGCUAAUACCGGAUAAUAUUUUGAACCGCAUGGUUCAAAAGUGAAAGACGGUCUUGCUGUCACUUAUAGAUGGAUCCGCGCUGCAUUAGCUAGUUGGUAAGGUAACGGCUUACCAAGGCAACGAUGCAUAGCCGACCUGAGAGGGUGAUCGGCCACACUGGAACUGAGACACGGUCCAGACUCCUACGGGAGGCAGCAGUAGGGAAUCUUCCGCAAUGGGCGAAAGCCUGACGGAGCAACGCCGCGUGAGUGAUGAAGGUCUUCGGAUCGUAAAACUCUGUUAUUAGGGAAGAACAUAUGUGUAAGUAACUGUGCACAUCUUGACGGUACCUAAUCAGAAAACCACGGCUAACUACGUG
rnacentral:rRNA from 1 species